ACCUGCUUAGAAAGAGAAUUGCUCUUAAGUAGGUUAUGCAUGUUCCUAGUAAUUAUAUUUGUACCGAGGUUUGUCUACUAAAUCUAAUUCUCCUCAUGGAGAUUGUAAAGAAAUGUUUAAAGCCAAAGCUUGCUUGCGUCACAAAUUCUGCAGUGGCAGAGUGCAAAUUAAUGACAAUUUCCUACAUUUAGAGUUGUUAUCAGGCAACCAAUGGGUCACCCGUUGCCGGCUAAGCUCUGCUACACACUUGGAGAAAGAACAAGUGGAGUGCAUGCAUUUUGCUGAAUAUACAGGUAAAAUGCAUCAAAAGCACAAACACUUAUUUCCCCCCAGGCUUAUAAGAUCUGUUCCAUGUCUGUUGCAGAAAAGAAAAAAAAAGUUUUUACCUUUUGAUUCAUAAUUCAUGGGGUCGGUGCACUAGGUCUUUAGGACCUCAAUUGUUAAUGUUUUCUCUUUGUAAGACAGGGUUUGAGCAAAGUCAAUAUUUUAAUGUUGACGGUUAAUGCUUGCUUGACCUAAUUUGUAUAUUGCUUCCUUUCGAAACGGAGAAGACGAGAAAAAGUACCUUUCCUGAAACAAAGCUCUAGGGGGAUGAAGAUAACCGCCCCGUUCAACAUCCAGGGUCCGUUUAUCUUCGGGUUUUUAAGAAAUAUUAGAAAUAUUCACAGUGGCAAGAUAUCACUAGUGCCGUCUACAAGAUAAAUUAGAAACAAUAGUAUCUUGCCUUUGAUUUAUUACCCGGAAAAUGUAAAUGCGAUUCUAUGACUAUGACUCUAUGAGUGAAAAAUGCCAAAGGUUGUUUACUGUGAUUAUUCCAGGCUAAAAACCCUGUCCAGCGGUUCUCUCAACAGACUGGCAGCAUCACUCUCUGGAAGAAUGCGAGUCACUGCGUUUGUCUCUUUUCGCAGAGAAAUGAAUGGACCCCCAAAUUCGAGCUGCUUGGCAUCCCAAUGGUCACAGAGGCAUUUGGACGGUGUGGAUACAGCUUCAAGAUGUGCUCCUUGUAGGAUUUGUGGCUUAGAUUUGGAGGGACGUUUCUCCCUAUCUAGUUUUUAUUGCGAUGUCGUCGACGGGCAAGGCCGUGUUAGCUUUAGGGUUUCAGGUGUGCGGCACAGUGAUUCGCUAUACCUACGUGUGUGUCUAUUCUUCUUCAGAUUCUUUUCCCUUAUCCGUUAGUACCAAGUGUUCUCGGAGGUCGGUUUCUUCACCCUCAGCUCCGUCUCUGUCACCAUCAGCUCUGUUUCCCGCGGGCUUCUGUGGACCCAAGCGGUGCCGGCUUGCGGACAGUGACGUGGCUGUCGGGGGGUUGGCUUCUCCGACGCCCGCUCCCGGAUCCCAGCACAGCCCGUGUGGCUCAGGUAACAGGAGCAGGCCCUUUGGGAGAAGUUACUUGCAGAAAAACCUCAAGUGACUCGAGGCGGUAGUCUUGGUUCUUCCCAAUUCCUCCGCCCCACCCCCAAGGUCGUGACUUGGCCUUCCUGCGCAGGGAGCGGGCUCUGGGCUCUUGUCACCUCCACACCAGCAAGACUGGUCUCUGGACGAGACAACGCCUCUUCUCAUGGUGCAGGGGGCCUAGGAGAUGGAAUAUUGUCCCGAGUGACAGAGAGGGCACCCAGGGAGCUAAUCGUCUGGCUUGAAAUGGUUGAGAGCAGCUGGUGCUCAUCUGUGGGCCAGACGCCGCAGGGCAGCGUUCUCAGCCUGACCUUGACUGUGGGCAUUUGGGUGGAUCAGUUCUGCCUCCGUGUCCCGGGCCAUCUGGCAUGGUGAGUGGCAUUCCCGGCCUCCACCCACCCAAUGCCAGGACCAGCCCUCCCCCUCCCAGUUGUGACAACCAGAAAUGCCUCCAGAAGCUUCUGGAUGUCCCUGGGGACAGGGGGCACUCAACCCAGCCCCGCACCAGGGCUCUAAGCGUG
ensembl:lncRNA